rnacentral:rRNA from 1 species
AUAUUACUAAGGGGAGGAAAAGAAACUAACAAGGAUUCCCCCAGUAACGGCGAGUGAAGCGGGAACAGCUCAAAUUUGAAAUCUCAGAGGGCAACCUCUGCGAAUUGUAGUUUAGAGAAGCGUUUUCGGGGGCGGCCUGGGUAUAAGUCCUUUGGAACAAGGCAUCAUAGAGGGUGAGAAUCCCGUUUAUGACCCAGUGUCUGCUUUUAUGUGAUACGCUUUCCAAGAGUCAGGUAGUUUGGGAUUGCUGCCUAAAAUGGGUGGUAAAUACCAUCUAAAGCUAAAUAUUGGCGAGAGACCGAUAGCGCACAAGUA